rnacentral:rRNA from 1 species
UACGAAGGGGGCUAGCGUUGCUCGGAAUCACUGGGCGUAAAGGGUGCGUAGGCGGGUCUUUUAAGUCAGGGGUGAAAUCCUGGAGCUCAACUCCAGAACUGCCUUUGAUACUGAAGAUCUCGAGUCCGGGAGAGGUGAGUGGAACUGCGAGUGUAGAGGUGAAAUUCGUAGAUAUUCGCAAGAACACCAGUGGCGAAGGCGGCUCACUGGCCCGGUACUGACGCUGAGGUGCGAAAGCGUGGGGAGCAAACAGG